GGGUUAGUAGGUUGGCCAUGCCUCUGGUAUGUACUGGUCUCACUGAUUCCUCCUUCCUGAUGAACCGUAAUGCCAUUAAUUUGGUGUUGCGGGGAAUUUGGACUGUUACUUUGAAAAAAUUAGAGUGUUUAAAGCAAGCUAACGCUUGAAUACAUUAGCAUGGAAUAAUGAAAUAGGACGUUCGAUCCUAUUUUGUUGGUUUCUAGGAUUGACGUAAU
rnacentral:rRNA from 1 species